UCAGAGGGAAGCUUGCCAGAGAGGUUACAUGCAGGGUGCUUGUCACGCCCAGUUCAAUGCCUCUGGGAAGGUCUGAGACAAGAGCCCCUAGCUGCCCUUGCAGGGCACUGCCUGCUGCAGGUGGAUGAGUCACCAGGGAUGGGGGCUCUGGGGUGGACACUCGUCUGUGGCAUGAGAAGCUAGAGGAGGCUCCUCUGGUGGAUGCCUAGUCUACCCCUGGCUUUGGGACAGGCUCAUGGCUGGCCCUGCUGAGCUCAAUGGGAUGAGGUGAGACACCCCCCCAGGCGUCUCAUAACCCAACUCAGACUACUCUCCCUCUGA
rnacentral:RNase_P_RNA from 1 species